rnacentral:rRNA from 1 species
UACGUAGGGGGCUAGCGUUGUCCGGAAUCAUUGGGCGUAAAGCGCGUGUAGGCGGUCCGGUAAGUCCGCUGUGAAAGUCGGGGGCUCAACCCUCGAAUGCCGGUGGAUACUGUCGGGCUAGAGUGCGGAAGAGGCGAGUGGAAUUCCUGGUGUAGCGGUGAAAUGCGCAGAUAUCAGGAGGAACACCGGUGGCGAAGGCGGCCUUCUGGGCCUGUUCUGACGCUGAGGAGCGAAAGCGUGGGGAGCAAACAGG